GCGGUGUAAAAUGAGCUUGCGUCCUAUUAGCUAGUUGGUGAGGUAAUGGCUCACCAAGGCUACGAUGGGUAGGGGUUCUUAGUGGAAGGUCCCCCACACUGGCACUGAGAUACGGGCCAGACUCCUACGGGAGGCAGCAGUAGGGAAUAUUGGUCAAUGGGCGCAAGCCUGAACCAGCCAUGCCGCGUGCAGGAUGAAGGCUCUCUGAGUUGUAAACUGCUUUUGUACAGGAGCAAAAAAAUCCCUGCGGGGGUUCUUGAGAGUACUGUAAGAAUAAGCACCGGCUAAUUCCGUGCCAGCAGCCGCGGUAAUACGGGAGGUGCAAGCGUUAUCCGGUUUUAUUGGGUUUAAAGGGUGCGUAGGCGGCUUAUUAAGUCAGUUGUGAAAUCCUAGUGCUUAACGCUAGAACUGCGAUUGAUACUAUUAGGCUUGAGUUAAAGAAGAGGU
rnacentral:rRNA from 1 species